rnacentral:piRNA from 1 species
UUGACAUGUUUCCACGAUGAGAGCUGAAC